UGGUGGUGCAUGCCUGCAAUCCCAGCUACUUGGGAGGCUGAGGCAUGAGAAUCAUUUGAAUUCCGGAGACAGAGGUUGCAGUGAGCCAAGAUCACACCACUGCACCCUAGCCCUUAAAUGUAGUGUUUAAGCAGACACAACAGAAGAUAACUCAGUCCUGCUACCUAGAAAGUUGCCCUGCAAGGUCUUCAGGACUAUUGAUUAAGCAGAUAAAUCAAUUAUCUUGUUAAUUGAAUCUUAUGAGUCAUUUAAAAGUUAAAGCAGAAAAGUUUUAGUGCUGAGCUCUUUACCUUGAUUUUUUUCCUUAAGCAUUACAUAAUUUUCUAAGCAGAAUUUCUUGUGAUAGAAACCAUGAUAAAUAAUGUACCUACCUGUGGUGUAGCCCGAACUUGCUUAACUGAGUCCCAAAGGAAUUUGUUGCCAUGGACGGCCCUGUUACAUGGACUUUUUGCACCAUAACGUUUCUACCUUUUGGAUCAUACUAGUGGUUUGAUCAAGUCUAUCAAACAAACAUCAUUCACAUUCUUGUCUAUAGACAGUAUACAAGCAGUAGGGGUUCAAAUAAUUUUUUGAGAUGAAGUCUCGCUCUGUUGCCCAGGCUAGAGUGCAGUGGUGUGGUGCGAUCUUGGCUCACUGUUCCCCCCGAAGGGCUGUGAGGACUCUCAUUCUUCUGUCCCCUUCCUCUAGGUCACAUGGCUCUUGUGGGCUCUCCUGCUUGCUCCACCCUUUUUGAGGUCUGAUCCCACCCCUUCCCUUUCCCCUUCCCUGUCUCCAGCUUAAGUUGCUGUUGCCUCUGCAGCCCAGACCACCAAUUCCCUUGAGGCAAUCAAGAAAUUCACCUUAAUUUUACUGCCA
rnacentral:lncRNA from 1 species